rfam:Triticum urartu cultivar G1812 contig1032167, whole genome shotgun sequence.
UUAAUACUCCCUCCGUCCCAAAAUUCUUGUCUUAGAUUUGUCUAGAUACGGAGAUACAUCCGUAUCUAGACAAAUCUAAGACAAGAAUUUUCGAUACAUCCGUAUCUAGACAAAUCUAAGACAAGAAUUUUGGGACGGAGGUAGUAAUAA